ensembl:rRNA 5S_rRNA 5S ribosomal RNA
GCUUAUGCCCAUACCACCCUGGACAUGCCUGAUCCCAGACACUAAGCAGGAUUGGGCCUGGUUAACACUUGAAUGGGAGGCCGCUUGGGAAACACCAGUGCCGUGAGCU